rnacentral:rRNA from 1 species
UACGGGGGGGGCAAGCGUUGUUCGGAAUUACUGGGCGUAAAGGGUUUGUAGGUGGCCAACUAAGUCAUACGUGAAAUCCCUCAGCUUAACUGGGGAACUGCGUCUGAUACUGGUUGGCUUGAGUGCAGGAGAGGAACGCGGAAUUCCAGGUGUAGCGGUGAAAUGCGUAGAUAUCUGGAGGAACACCGGUGGCGAAGGCGGCGUUCUGGACUGCAACUGACACUGAGGAACGAAAGCCAGGGGAGCAAACGGG